rnacentral:rRNA from 1 species
GACGAACGCUGGCGGCGUGCCUAAUACAUGCAAGUCGAACGCUUUUUCUUUCACCGGAGCUUGCUCCAUCGAAAGAAAAAGAGUGGCGAACGGGUGAGUAACACGUGGGUAACCUGCCCAUCAGAAGGGGAUAACACUUGGAAACAGGUGCUAAUACCGUAUAACACUAUUUUCCGCAUGGAAGAGAGUUGAAAGGCGCUUUUGCGUCACUGAUGGAUGGACCCGCGGUGCGUUAGCUAGUCGGUGAGGUAACGGCUCACCAAGGCAACGAUGCAUAGCCGACCUGGGAGGGUGAUCGGCCACACUGGGACUGAGACACGGCCCAGACUCCUACGGGAGGCAGCAGUAGGGAAUCUUCGGCAAUGGACGAAAGUCUGACCGAGCAACGCCGCGUGAGUGAAGAAGGUUCCCGGAUCGUAAAACUCUGUUGUUAGAGAAGAACAAGGAUGAGAGUAAAAUGUUCAUCCCUUGACGGUAUCUAACCAGAAAGCCACGGCUAACUACGUGCCAGCCGCCGCCGUAA